AGGUUAGAUAUAACAUCUCCAUUGUGGAUUGUCGACUGCAGAGGACUUGUUUGUGUUGAGAGUGUUUUGGAGAAGUUGAUAAAGAGCAUGAUCGCGGAGCAAAGAUACAAGAUUGGAUAUAAACGAAACCGCGUCGUCGACGAGAGAUGGACCGGACUAUGAGCUCAGCUGCGCUCGCUUGGAUAAAGUCUUCAGCUGACAUCCAGAGGAGGACUGGAAUCUGGAGUGCAUUCAUGAGCGACCACAUUCAAAAUAGCAAGUAUUUUGUUAUAAUGUGCAAAUGUUUUUUUCUGAAAUAGUUUUUUCUAUGUGCUUUGGUGGGCAGAGAAGUUCUGAAUUGAUAUACAUCAUGUAAUAUGUAGUCCUGACUCAUUUUCUUUUGAUAAUCAUGUCAUUUUGUUAUCAUGUGUAUAUUUGGAGUUUCCAAGUGCACUUUUUCUGAAAGGACGCCUGGACUUUUUUGAAAUAAAAGCUCACAGAAACAACA